rnacentral:misc_RNA from 1 species
ACUAAGAUAUGAGAGUAAAGCCUCUUAAAAUAUUCAUAAAGACCGAAUUUGAAGCCGCCUUGAACACCAUAUCCAAACAACUUGCCAGACCACCCCCUCCAAAGGGAAGAAGGCCCUUGUUCUUUCCAUAGAGUAGAGAAUCCAGCCAAAAUACUGUUAUACUUGAUUGGAUUCACCUGCAUAUUAACUUUCAAGACAUCAAGAGGAGUAAUAGCAAGGUGGGUAGCCCCCGCACUGAGCAUUCC